GGUAGUGUGGCUGAGUGGUCUAAGGCACUGGAUUAAGGCUCCAAUCUCUUCAGGGGCGUGGGUUCAAAUCCCACCGCUGCCA